AAUAUCUGCAAUGCUCUGCAAUGGGAUGGGAUCCGAAUCCCUCCGAGGGAUAAUACAGGCUCUCCCAUCCAACUCCUAUUCCGACACGUCCUCGUCGUGCAGAGUGGAACAUGUGCCUCCAUAUAUCCUAGCUUGGGUACACGGGCUAGAUCCAACCCCUUGGGCGGAUGGUGGCAUAUGGCGAACCAGGUGGGG
rnacentral:ribozyme from 1 species